rnacentral:rRNA from 1 species
GAUGAACGCUGGCGGCGUGCUUAACACAUGCAAGUCGAACGAAGCACUUUAUUACGAUUUCUUCGGAAUGACGAUUUAGUGACUGAGUGGCGGACGGGUGAGUAACGCGUGGGUAACCUGCCUUAUACAGGGGGAUAACAGUUAGAAAUGACUGCUAAUACCGCAUAAGCGCACAGGAUUGCAUGAUCUGGUGUGAAAAACUCCGGUGGUAUAAGAUGGACCCGCGUCUGAUUAGCUGGUUGGUGAGGUAACGGCCCACCAAGGCGACGAUCAGUAGCCGACCUGAGAGGGUGACCGGCCACAUUGGGACUGAGACACGGCCCAAACUCCUACGGGAGGCAGCAGUGGGGAAUAUUGCACAAUGGGGGAAACCCUGAUGCAGCGACGCCGCGUGAGCGAAGAAGUAUUUCGGUAUGUAAAGCUCUAUCAGCAGGGAAGAAGAAAUGACGGUACCUGACUAAGAAGCACCGGCUAAAUACGUGCCAGCAGCCG